rnacentral:rRNA from 1 species
AGAGUUUGAUCCUGGCUCAGGGUGAACGCUAGCGGCGUGCAUUAGGCAUGCAAGUAGAACGAUCGUCCGUCGCCGCAAGGCUAUGGACGAGAGUUGCGAACGGCUGAGUAAUGAAUAGGAAUCUACCUCUUGGUGGGGAAUACCUCGUCGAAAGACGAGCUAAUACCGCAUAAGAACUCCGGUUGAAAGACGCAAGUCGCCGAGAGAGGAGCCUAUUUCCCAUCAGGCUGUUGGUGAGGUAAAAGCUCACCAAACCGACGACGGGUAGGGGGUGUGAGAGCAUGGCCCCCCAGAAUGGGACUGAGACACGGCCCAUACACCUACGGGUGGCAGCAAGUAGGAAUCGUACGCAAUGGACGAAAGUCUGACG